rnacentral:rRNA from 1 species
AGAGUUUGAUCCUGGCUCAGGAUGAACGCUGGCGGCGUGCUUAACACAUGCAAGUCGAACGGUCUCUUCGGAGAUAGCGGCGGACGGGUGAGUAACGCGUGAGAAUCUGCCUUUAGGUUCGGGACAACAGUUGGAAACGACUGCUAAUACCGAAUGUGUCGCAAGAUGAAAGAUUUAUUGCCUAAAGAUGAGCUCGCGUCUGAUUAGCUAGUUGGUGGGGUAAAAGCGUACCAAGGCGACGAUCAGUAGCUGGUCUGAGAGGAUGAUCAGCCACACUGGGACUGAGACACGGCCCAGACUCCUACGGGAGGCAGCAGUGGGGAAUUUUCCGCAAUGGGCGAAAGCCUGACGGAGCAACGCCGCGUGAGGGAGGAAGGCUUUUGGGUUGUAAACCUCUUUUCUCAAGGAAGAUAAUGACGGUACUUGAGGAAUCAGCAUCGGCUAACUCCGUGCCAGCAGCCGCGGUAAUACGGAGGAUGCAAGCGUUAUCCGGAAUAAUUGGGCGUAAAGCGUUCGUAGGUGGUUUUGCAAGUCCUGCUGUUUAAAGCGUGUAGCUU